AAUUUGGAAAAAAUCUGAACAUAAUAGAGAAGAAAAUAGAAGUCUGGUCAGUGGAUGCAGGAACAUCUCCUAAGCAAAUAAAUCAGUGGCGGACUUGGUCACAUCACCCUCACACCCUGAAAAGGGUGUGAUUGAAGAGUGUUCCUUGUUUAUGGAGAACCAUAGCACAGUCAUGCUUGUGGAUCGACUUGCUGUUUAAGAUGACUGAGGGCGUUCAUCACCAUCACAGCUUCUCUCGCUCAGGAUCACCUGUGUCACCGCAGAAGCAAUUUGGGAGACAGAUGGGGAUUUUGCCCCUGCCCCACCUAGAACCUGCACCUGUGGAUGACUGGACUUCUAUGCAAAGCACCUCUGGAUUUCUUAGGCAACCUCAGACCAUCCUUUUUAGCUGUUAGGCUUCUGUAAUUGCCUUUAGGUUUGUUCUUAGAGAAUACCAAGUGUGUAGCAGCAUGUGUUUGCAGUGACCUCGGCAUAGUUCACUUUCUUUGCUGAGCAUCUGCCUCCUUCUCUUGAGAAUCUGCCCAGGAGCCCCUGGAGUGGUUCAGCCAAGGGCCCUUCCAAGCGCAUACUGGCUCCUGCAGUUCCAUCUUCCUGGCAGCCUUCGCCCCCCUAAUGGGGAGCAGCUACUCACCACCUUGACUCCUGCCAGACUGGACUGGGCAGAAGCCUUGGAAGAAGGUGAUGUUUGUACAGGACCUGAUGUGUCAGGGUGUACUGGAGAGAUUUAGACAAUGGGCAAAGAGUUUGGGGUUGAGUUAUGACAGAGAAGCAAGCAAAUGAAAAGACCAACCAAUUAUAAACUUGUCAGGGAAGGAACGGUAUUCAUAGCAUGUUCCGUGGCCCAGCUGUGACUAGUGUUCAUCUAGGUAAAGCUGUGGUCAACCUUGAAUAUUAAGCCAAACAUGGUGAUAAACCUUUUGAGAGCAUGUUGGCAGAAGUUCAGGGUUUGAGAGUAGGUUAGAAAGGCAGGUAGUUUAUGUUCUGUGGUGGAGAAUCAAUAAUGUCUAAAGUUACAGAACAGGAAAUACCAAUGUAGGCUUAUAAAGAUAGGAAAUUCUGAAAAAAAUCUUUGUUUCAGGAGAAGGUAAAUUGGUGGGGGGAGGGACAUGGAGGCAUUGCUGUUUCCCAUAACAGGUCUUGUAGAGCUGUUUGUCUUUUAAAUCAAGAGGAUGUAUAACUUUGAUUAAAGAUGAAAGCCAAUGAAAAAGAAAAUGUUGGAGAAUCAGGUGCUUGAAAUCCUCCAUUUCUUGAUCCCGUUUCUACCACCCCCGCUCCCUAGCACACAUACCCGCACACUUGUCUGUUUCUCAUUAUUGAACUAGGGACUCCUUUUAAACAUCUCGUGAAAUGAUUGUGCUGAAAGCCAAAUUUUCUUCCAUGUUUUGAGGUUCAGAAUAGACUAAAUCACCUUGUAUUGAUAUAUACAUUUUAAUACAAGCCGAUGCUUGAGAAAAUUACUGUUUGGGCAUUUGUUUUUAAAAAAAACCUUGCCGUGGUUUUUCUUUGUAAGUUACAGUGCUAGGUCUUGUAGCCUUGACUAUAGAAUAUAGUCUGAAGAAAAUAAAGCACUAUUUUGAAACAUUUUUAGGAACCAUGUAGUAACUGGCUGUUUACAUUUUGUGUAAUUAUAUGAGUUUAGUAGUGACUGAAAUGUUUUUUUUAUGCCCAGUUUUUUUCCAAGCAUUUUAUUUUUUAACAAGUAUUCUGAAACACAAACUGUGUUGGUGUUUUAAUUUUUAAAUUUUUACAUUUAUAAUUUCUCUCCAGGUAUUUAAGGAGGUUCUCCAUCUUCCUGUGUAUCUCCUGAAGCCAUGCCGUGCUAACCAAUUUGAAAUAAUAAUCUCCAAUACACUGGUGAGAGGAGUACCAGUAGCUCUAAUUUUAGGUUAUAAAAGUCAAGUUAAACUGAUUGCAAGUUUUCUUUGAAACUAAUUCCAUUUUCUACAUCUUUCUAGCAACAAGGACAUUUUUUUGCUGUGAAAUUUAUUAAAAAAUUUUGCCUUUAAAUGGCCUUCUUUGUUUUAUUACUGGUUUAAUAAAAUUUACUCAUAAUUUUAGCCAUAGAAGUUAAAAUGUACAUCUGUGUAUGCAUUAUUUCUGUCCCUGUUUAAGGUGCUGGGAGUCCUAGGCCUGUGCUGCUGAUUACUGGUUACUUACUUGUUACACUGAAUCCCUUUGUGACUGUCUGACCCUCCCUGAGUGCUGUGGCCAUAUUGCCAGAGUUCCUGCCUCCACAGUGGACCUGAGCAGCUGUGAUUAGCAUUUCCACUCUACAGGACAGUAACGAUUAUAAAGAUUUUUAAAAAAUAUUACAGAAGUAACAUAGUGCCUGUCAAUGUUUGCCCUGCACAAGGAGCCUACCUCUGCAGUCUGCCUUAGCUGCCUAGUAAGUGGCAGAUCAUUCCAGCCUCUCGUAUGAACACAGGAAUGGUGACUGUGGUGACGUUCAGCGGGAAGGGGGCAGUCUGUGACCUAUGCCUCUAGAUAACAGGUUUGUGAGACAUGGCUGUAUGAGAAAAGGCUUCCCCUUCAGUGUUCAGUUUAUAAUAUAUUUUUUUUCCCCUCUAGGAAUUCCCAUUAAGCUUAGAUAGUCAUGAAGUGGGGAAUUUUAUCAACCUCAUUGGAGUCAUGGGACAUUAAAAUAAGCACUUUUAGCUCUGCAUGCCCCAUGCCCUGAAAGCAGAUUGGGUCAUCAGGUUGGCCUGGUGGAAAUUUUUGUUCUUAAUCUCUCUUUUGUCCAUUCAGUCCACAGGCUCCAGAGCCACAGAAGCUGAGAGGGUGGAAGAACAGCUUCUUCUCCAACAGGAAAGAGGUUGGCACAUAGGGCAGACUUUCUAGGAGGAGCAGGGUGAGACUGGUGUGACCGGCCUGGAGUGAAGCAGUGGGUGUGUGCUGGGAAUGCGGUGCACACUUUCAUGAGACUAGGAAGACAGCUAGAAUUCUGACCCACAGGGAUAUUAGUUAUGUGUGUCGUUUUAAAAGCAAAAAUGGGAUAAGUCCGUGUCCCUCAUCAUUUGUAGCAUACUCUUAAAUCAUCAGUACCUACGGUUUGGGUCCAGAGUCUUUUUGCUGCAGCAGGGUCCUCACCCAGGUAAUCCUGCCGGUUUCUUGUUCUGUCCCUGCCUUUGUAACCUAGGGAACUAGAUUAGCUCUUCCUACCAGUGUAACAGGGAAGCUGCCCCUUUCCUGUAUAAGGAGCUAUGAAGGUAGUUCCCCUGGAACUGAGUCAAAAUUCACAAGUGGGCAUUUUCCUGAGAGGAAAAGAUCCUUUUUUUGUUAUUGGCCUGUCUCCUGCCUUCUCUGAAGCCCAAAGGAUAAAAUUGAAUUUGUACACAAUGUUAAUACUAUUAGUUAAGUUGUCACACUUUGUAUUGUCUAUUGUCUACUUUUGUUUUCUUCAGAAUAUCACAUAACAUAACUUGAUAUUUAGCCAGAGUACUACUCUGAUUUCUCUGAGAAAUUAAUAUGCCCCUCUGCCUUUCAGGUGGUAGAUCAGUGGGGUGUUUGGAGAGAUAACUGUGUUUGCUUUGCAUCACUAUCCUCUUUUGGGUCAUCAUCACUGUUUUCAGUUGAUAAUCACCAAAAGGGAUACAGGGACUAUGGUGGGAGACAGGGAGAUGGGAGACAGGCCCGUCUGACAUGAGUUAGUUUCAGAGUUUCAAUGCUGCGAAUCUUAGUAUUGAGUCCUGGCUAGUCAAGCGUCAUAGUGAAAAAGAUAGUUUUAAGAGGCACAUAGGGCAAAAAUGAUUGGUGUAUUCUGGGCAGUACUUGAAGGCAGGCUUACCCAAGACAAAAACAAACAAAAAGCCAAGGACAUUUUUUUUUUUUUUUUUACAGGUGGGCGAUUUCCCAGGGUUUAACAGGGUGUUAGAAAAGGGAGAUUCUUUUCACGUUUGUCUGUGCAUUGGAAAGCUUAGCUUGGUGGAUGAUGAGAGAAGGACACCUCCACAUUCUCACACACCCAGUCUGAGGGAAAAACUACCCACAGUCCCCACCCAGCUGAAAUUUCCCACUUGAUCCGCUUUUUGGUGAAACCUAAGAUUUGAGAUGCGGCAGCUGCUUCCAGCUGUAGUCUCAGGAGCCCAGGGCAUUCUGGGAUGGAUGGGGGGGUGGCCUCAUACAUUGCACAUUCAGACCAGACUCAGAGGAUUUGGGACCAUUAUUCUUGGCAGGUAUUUUCCUGAACUAUCAUAAGGAAAACAAAUUAAUACAAAUAGGUUUUUGCUUUUAGUGGAUUUUCUCUAUAUAAAAGUUAAAGUUCCUGCUUGUCUGUCACAUGCAGAGGGAGUAAGACACUUGAAAUGUAUUUUAUUAAGCAAUCUGAGGCCCAGAAAGUGGACAAAAGACCUGCCAUUUGUAUGAUUCUGAGUCCAGGGACACUGUGAUUCCCAAAUGAGUGCCCUUGGGUGCAAAAUUUGAAUGGAUAGAUGGAUGGAAGCCAGAGUGUGGAUGUUCUCCACUGAAUGGCUUCCAGGAGACUUUACUUAGUUUCAGAUAACUUUUCUAUGGCCCUCGAAAUCUUCAACAAUUUAAUAGGUUUACUCUCAGGUGACUAUAAAGAAAUGGGAAGUCUGGGCCCCUGGAGCUCCUGGGUGCGAGGCAUGAAUGAGGAGUGGCUUUGGUUCCUUACGUUUUUGCUUCCAGGGUACUGGCUGCAGUCCUGGCCACAGAGGGAAUUAGACGAGGGUCCCGGGCUGCUGUGGAGGCCGAGGGUGCCUGCGCUGACCUCCAGAGCUGGAGCCAGACAGCAAGUGACAGAUGGACUGGGUUCAGCCUGAGAUGUAAUGAGAGGCCCUGGGGAGCCUCUUAUGCAGCUUUUGUUUCCAGGGCUUUCAGUUCUGUAGUCCCUUUUCUGUAAAGAAAAAUUUUCUAGAAAUGUUUACUUGUAGGGAAGAAACUUAGGAUACUGAGACAUGUUUCCAAGUCUACUAAGAAAAUCUUCACCCAGUGAUACAGGACUGUUUGCCUGGUUUCUCAUUCAGAAUUUGGCCUUGCUUGGUCCUAGAGAAUGGAAACAUACAUCAGGUAUUCUAAGAUUUGCGGGACCUAAUGAAAUAGAGUUGACUGAUGUUGUGCUAUUAAAAAGAAUAGUGACCAGACAUUGAGAAUGAUUUGUGGCUGUCAAGGGCAGGAGGGUGGGAUGGAAAUAAAACAAGAAAUAGUGAUCAUUUCAGUUAUUCCACAUCAUGGGCUCAGGAGUCAUUCUGGAUGUGUGAUUUUUAUUGUAUUUUUUUAGAUUGCUCUGUAGUUAUCUAGGCUUAGGAAAUACUCUCCUAAUUUUGGUGGUUUAUGAAUGUAGUAACUGCUUUGAUGGGCAUCUACUUAAACUACUGUAGAUUGCCCUUUCUUGAAUGCCAUAUUCCCAGUGAAGCACAUGAAGUUGUCUGUUACAGACAACGUUGUGAAUUUUAAACAGUUUCUGAAGGUGUGAAAAAUGUAGGCUUAGACAGGAGACGGCCUAUAGCAUAGUGCUCAGCAGCGUGGCUUCUGAAACCAGAACAUCAAAGCCUUGGUUCCUCUACUAACUAGCUCUGACUUUUCAGAAGUUACUUAACUUCUCUGUGACUCAGUUUCACUACUUAUCCAAUGGGGUGGGAGACAUGGUGGUCACUCAGAUGUGCUUCACAGACCUCUGGCUGCAGGAAGCGUGACUGACCAAGGGCACCAGCCACUGUACUCUGACAUCCAUCACCGAGGUGCACUGAGGCCAGGCCCCCACCUCUGCUUGUAGCCCACUGCGCGUGGUAAAAUGUGAAGACAGACCCAAUCCUGGACCGCUUGGAGCACCUUUGUUUGCCCCUUUGGCCUAAGGACUUCUUGACAGCCCAGCCUAACCCACCUUUCAUGAUGUUUUCAGCCAACCUUCUGUCUGUCUCCUCCCUGGACUUAGACUUACAGUAAGGUCUGAGGGCUCUCCUGGCCUGGUCUGGCUCCCAGCCUUCCCCCCAAGGUGACAGUGGGAACUGGUUGACCUCAGGCUGUAUUCUGGGUGCAGGGCACACCCCGCUCUGGUGUUGGCACUCACAGGGCUGGUAGAAGCCUGAGUGACCCAUUCAGAGAGGGGGAACCCUCUCAGAUGGGUGCCUCAGCUCUCUUUUUCACUAAGUGGAUGCUGCCUGGCUCUCUGACCCAUCCUGUUUUCUCCUUAUCAACAGCUGUUUCUCUUUUCCUUUUCUCUUUCUCCAAUCAUCUUUUAUUUCCCCAUUGCUUUAUGAUCUUUAUACAAAGGGCCAGGCCUGGUCAUCAGAAAACCAGAAUUUUGCCUUCCAACAACCUCCAGAAGUUGUAUGUUCAGUUAUUUUUUGGGCUGUUUCUCUUUUUAAUUGUUUGGUUAACUUUUGCCUUUUUAUUACUAUUUCUUGCUUUCUUUUAUUUUGAACUAUCAGAGUAUGAGAUGCUCUGGUUGCUUGAGAAUUCUGGAGGGUUGAAAUCUGGAUAAAUGAGGUGAUAUAAGUUAAUUCUGUAGGAGUAGAAACUAAUGGAGCAAAUGAGCAAUUGCAUUGUUAUCUGGGAGAUGUAGAAAUGUUUUUAAGCUCAAAAAUUCCCUGGAUGCUUGGAAUAGAAUCUGGGUGUUUAAAUCUUAAUGUGUUAGGACUAGAUUCAUAUGAUAUAUUUGAUACCAGUAAUACAUGAACUGAUUUACAUUUCUGUCAAGGCUGUAUAUUGUCACCCUGCUUUUUUAACUUAUAUGCAGAGUACUUUAUGAGAA